CAUGCCAUCCUCUCUUCCUCCUCUCUAUCCAAUGCCCAAGAGUUGGGCAUCCCAUCUUUCCACAUGCCAAAGUUGAGGGUGAUUUCUUCUACAUCAAGUAAUAAGGAGAAAGGCUAUAGUUCAAGUAUUGAAAUCACAGUCAAAGAUUAACAUUUGAUCAAAGAUCCAAAAGGCUAAGAUUCAUCUUGGAGAAGAUGGAUCAAGUACAAGAAGAAAGGUUCAAGAUUAAUCCCGAUAGAUACCUAUAGAGUCAGACGCAUGU
rnacentral:lncRNA from 1 species